CAGUAGCCACGGUAAUACAGAGGGUGCGAGCGUUAAUCGGAUUUACUGGGCGUAAAGCGUGCGUAGGCGGCUUCUUAAGUCGGAUGUGAAAUCCCUGAGCUUAACUUAGGAAUUGCAUUCGAUACUGGGAAGCUAGAGUAUGGGAGAGGAUGGUAGAAUUCCAGGUGUAGCGGUGAAAUGCGUAGAGAUCUGGAGGAAUACCGAUGGCGAAGGCAGCCAUCUGGCCUAAUACUGACGCUGAGGUACGAAAGCAUGGGGAGCAAACAGGAUUAGAUACCCGUGUAGCCCUGUCUCUUAUACC
rnacentral:rRNA from 1 species